GGCCCGGAGUCGAGGUGGCCACGGGGAGGGGCGCAGAGCCGGGUCGGUGGGGGCCGGAGCUGGCGACCGAGCCGGCUACGAGUGGGGGUGGCCGAGUGGGGGUGGCCGGGCGCCUCUGAGGGAGGAGAGCUGGGGUUGAGCUUUUGCUGUCGGCCAAAUUCGAGUCCCCCUCCUUUUGAUCUAUUGAGAGCGAGAAGAUGGGGGGGGCGCCCAAGAGCCCUGCCCCUGGGAGUGGGGUAAGGAGGUGGGAGCCGGACCACCCCCACAUCUUUCCUCCUGGGACUUGGGGAAAUCCCACCCCACCCCCAAGCUGGCCGGAGUUGGGCCCUGACUCUUUCCUGGGGUUUGAAGGCGGAGGCAGACCGAGCUGUCGAGAACUCAGUUGGCUCCGGGAGGCCUGUUGAGGGAGAGUCAGCAAAGAUUCUCUGGCUGCGGAAAAUCUAUUCAAGGAAACACAUUUAUUGAGCAUCCCCCUUAGCCCGGCAGUCAUCUGUCAAGGCAGUGAUAACCUGCAAUGCAGCUUUGCCCCCAACCGAGCCCCCUGACACUCCGACCUGGGAGGCAAGAGCACUGCCCUUUUAACUAAGGAUUUGCCACCAACCUGUGACCUUUGAGGAGUGCACUUUCUCUGGAGUUCAAGCUCUGAGAAUUUGCCCAAGAUCACCCAGCUGAUAAGCAGAAGGCCUGGAGUUUGAAGCCAGGUUCAUUGGAGGCUAAACUCAUGGUAUCUCUCAAAUGCAUUAGUAAGUGGAAAUAAGAAUCAUAAUGGUUUUGAGGUCUUUUCCUAAUAAUUUGAAACUGGAAACCAAAUGUAUCAUCUUUUAAAGACAUAAUAAGGAUUUGACUUUACCCUAGUAUAAUAUACUACUAUUAAGUUUAAAGUUCAAAUCGUAAUUAUUGCUGUACUCUGGGUUGAGAUGUUUUAAAUUAGUUUUUUUCAUAAUGAAAGAGAUAUAGGCUCCCUGUAAAAUUUAAAACUUUAUGAAGUAUAAAGUGAAAUAUAAAUGUCAAUAGUCCACAAAAAUUUGAAUAAACACUUCACCAAAAGAGAUCUACAAAUGGCAAAUAAGUACAUGAAAAAUGUACAUUGUUAAUCAUUAAAGAAAUGAAAAUUUAAGUCACCCAUUAGAAGAGCUAAAAUUUAGAAGUCUGAUCAUGCCAGAUACUGGCAAGGAUAUAGACAAAUGGAAAUGUUCAUACAGUGCUAGUGGGAUAUAAGAUGGUACAACCAGUUUGAAAACCAACUUUGCAGGUUCUUAAAAAGUUACACCUUUCAUAUGAUCUAAACAUUCCACUCUCAAGUAUUUACACAAGAGAAAUGAAAGCAUAUGCAAACACAAAGACUGGUGCACAAAUGUUCCUAGCAGUUUUAUUUUGUUUUGUUUUUGGGGGAAUAGCCCAAAACUAUUCACAAUCCAAAUGUCCAUCACCAGAUGAAUGAUAAGCAAAUUGUGAUACAUCCAUACAAUUGUGAUGCUAUUCUGCAAUUAAAAGGAAUCAAUUAUUGAUAUUCUUAGCAACGUGGAUGAAUCUCUAAUUGUGCUUCAAUGAAAGAAGCAAGACCAAAAAUAAGACAUAUUACACGAUUCCAUUUAUGUAAAAUUCUGGGAAAUGCAAACUUUUCAUGACAGAAAGUAGAUCAAUGGUUGCCUGAGAUAGGGGACAGGGAAGGGUGAUAGGGAGGGGAUGGGAGGAAACUUUUGAAGACAAUGAAUAUAUUCGUUG